UACGGAGGGUGCGAGCGUUAUCCGGAUUUACUGGGUUUAAAGGGUGCGUAGGUGGGCUGGUAAGUCAGUGGUGAAAUCUCCAGGCUUAACUUGGAAACUGCCAUUGAUACUAUCAGUCUUGAAUACCGUGGAGGUCAGCGGAAUAUGUCAUGUAGCGGUGAAAUGCUUAGAUAUGACAUAGAACACCAAUUGCGAAGGCAGCUGGCUACACGAAUAUUGACACUGAUGCACGAAAGCGUGGGGAUCAAACAGG
rnacentral:rRNA from 1 species